rnacentral:sRNA from 1 species
GCCAGGCACAGUGGUGCAUGCCUGUAAUCCCAGCAGCUUGGGAGGCUGAGGCAGGAGAAUUCUAAGUUUGAGGCCAUCCUCAGCAACUUGUGAGGCUUAAAGCAACUUUAAUGAGGCCCUGUCUCAA